UAAGGAAUAUUGGACAAUGGUCGCAAGACUGAUCCAGCCAUGCCGCGUGCAGGAAGACGGCCCUAUGGGUUGUAAACUGCUUUUGUACCAGAGAAAACCUAUCUACGUGUAGAUAGCUGAUAGUAUGGUAGGAAUAAGCACCGGCUAACUCCGUGCCAGCAGCCGCGGUAAUACGGAGGGUGCGAGCGUUAUCCGGAUUUACUGGGUUUAAAGGGUGCGUAGGUGGGCUUAUAAGUCAGUGGUGAAAUCUCCGAGCUUAACUUGGAAACUGCCGUUGAUACUAUAGGUCUUGAAUUAUCUGGAGGUAAGCGGAAUAUGUCAUGUAGCGGUGAAAUGCUUAGAUAUGACAUAGAACACCAAUUGCGAAGGCAGCUUACUACAUAUAAAUUGACGCUGAGGCACGAAAGCGUGGGGAUCAAAC
rnacentral:rRNA from 1 species